UGUUAUGGGUCGCGGGGGGCUGGAGCCUAUCCAAGCAGUCAUAGGGCAUGAGGCAGGGUACACCCUGGACAGGACGCCAGUCUGCCGCAGGGCCACAUAUAGACAAACAACCACACUCACAUUCACACCCGCGCACGCACCUAUGGACAAGUUAAAGUUUCCAGUGCACCUAACCUGCAUGUCUUUGGAUAUGGGAGGAAGCCGGCGUACCCAGACAGAACCCAAACACGGGGAGAAUAUGCAAACUUCACACAGAAAGGCCA